GCUUAGUGUUCCAAGGAAAAGCAAAUUACUGAUUAUACGUUUACUGAAUCCCUCUCCGAAAAAACAUUUAUGAUUCAACACUUAAUUCUGACCAAUUUCCGACCAGAGACACUGAGUGUAGUAAGGAGCCGACCAAUAUGCUAUCUAGCUGCCCAUCAAAUAGCUUGUCCUCUGAAGAGCAAGAACUGGAGCAAAUUUCUUAUUUGCCAGAACUCUGUAAAAACUUGGUUUGUAACAAGGUAUAUUCCUCUCAUAAUUGUCGGGUACUCUAUGUAAAGGACUCUCUUAUCGACUUUUAUGUUAAAUAAAUGGAAGCUUAAGGUUGUUAAGACUGUAGUUUCCGAUUCACCGAGUAUCACCUCAUUACUCGUCGUUACUCGCAAACGCGCCCUGCAACCGCGGUAAGGUCUGACGCCUGUCAUCGUUCACCUGACGAUUUCGGAUGGACACCCCACACCAGUUAAUAACAAUAGCAUCAUCUAGUAUGAAGUAGAGAAACAGUAACUCUGAACCAUUCAGAAAAUGUUACAUGCCCAGGACACUUUCCGGGACAAACAACUCAAAUCCGGGACAAUCCCGCAUAAUUCGGAACGUCUGGUCAAACUUUAACUCAUUUAAAUACAGGCAACAUCCAAUUGAAUAUUGUCGGCCAAAGUAGAACUCC
rnacentral:lncRNA from 1 species